rnacentral:rRNA from 1 species
GACGAACGCUGGCGGCGUGCUUAAUACAUGCAAGUCAACUUGACUUUAGAUAGCAAUAUCGAAAAGUAGGGUGGCGCACGGGUGCGUAACGCGUAGGUAAUCUGCCCUGAGGUCUGACAUAACCCGUCGAAAGGCGGGCUAACAUCAGAUGAUAUAUAAUCACGACAUCGUGGAAAUAUCAAAUCUUCGGAGCCUUGGGAUGAGCCUGCGUCUGAUUAGGUAGUUGGCGGAGUAAUAGCCCACCAAGCCUACGAUCAGUAGCUGGUCUGAGAGGAUGAUCAGCCACACUGGAACUGAGACACGGUCCAGACUCCUACGGGAGGCAGCAGUAAGGAAUAUUGCUCAAUGGGGGAAACCCUGAAGCAGCAACGCCGCGUGAAGGAUAGAAA